AGGUGAAUAUGAUGUUUGUGAUGUUACUCUGAGUGUAUAUCCACACUGGGCGAGCUUGAAAAAUCCCACCGUGGCCGGGCAUAUUUUUCAAGCUUGCCCGGUGUGGAUAUACACUCAGAGUAACAUCACAAACAUCAAAG